rnacentral:tRNA from 1 species
GUCCCUGUAGUGUAAUGGAUACCGCGUUGGACUUCUUAUCCAAAGAUCGUGAGUUCGAAUCCCACCUGGGAUU